rnacentral:rRNA from 1 species
AUUGAACGCUGGCGGCAGGCCUAACACAUGCAAGUCGAGCGGAUGAAGGGAGCUUGCUCCUGGAUUCAGCGGCGGACGGGUGAGUAAUGCCUAGGAAUCUGCCUGGUAGUGGGGGAUAACGUCCGGAAACGGGCGCUAAUACCGCAUACGUCCUGAGGGAGAAAGUGGGGGAUCUUCGGACCUCACGCUAUCAGAUGAGCCUAGGUCGGAUUAGCUAGUUGGUGGGGUAAAGGCCUACCAAGGCGACGAUCCGUAACUGGUCUGAGAGGAUGAUCAGUCACACUGGAACUGAGACACGGUCCAGACUCCUACGGAAGGCAGCAGUGGGGAAUAUUGGACAAUGGGCGAAAGCCUGAUCCAGCCAUGCCGCGUGUGUGAAGAAGGUCUUCGGAUUGUAAAGCACCUUAAGUUGGGAGGAAGGGCAGUAAGUUAAUACCUUGCUGUUUUGACGUUACCAACAGAAUAAGCACCGGCUAACUUCGUG